rnacentral:rRNA from 1 species
AUGGCGAUCGUCCCGCACGGCGCAGGGGGUAGCACGGUGUCGAUGCCGAUGCCGAUGCUCACACCGGACAACUACACGGUGUGGACGAUCAAGGCUGAAGCCAUCCUCGACGCCCAGAACCUCUGGGAAGCGGUGCCGCCGGCCGGCAACGCGACGGUCGACGCGGGGAAAAACAAGACGGCGAGGGCGGUGCUGUUCGGUGCGCUCUCCGAAGACCUGUUGAUGCAGGUAUCGACGAAGAACACGGCGGCUAAGGUGUGGGCCUGCUUGAAGAUGAGGUUCGUCGGUGCCGAUCGGGUCCAAGCGGCGCGGCUCUCCACUCUCCGUGGCGAGUUUGACAACCUGCGCAUGGAGGAGGGGGAGGCGCUGGACGCGUACGCCGGCAAGAUCGGCGGCAUGGCAGAAAGGUAUGCUGGCCUCGGCUCGACGCUCGGCGACGCCACCAUGGUGAAAAAACUGCUCGACACGGUGCCCGAUCGGUUGUAUGCCGCGGUGGCCGGGAUCGAACAGUUCUGCGACAUGGAGACGAUUGCGUUCGAGGAGGCGUUGAGUAGGCUCAAGGCGUUCAACGAACGCUUACGUCGGCGCAUGCAGGACAACGGCGGAUGA